UUACCUUGUUUGUCAGAAAGAUAUUACUCAAAAUGCUUGCUUCGUGUUAUCAAACAAGCUAUAGGGCCAGUGGUCAAACUUGAUACUCAUACGAAUAGUGGAAGGCGGGGAUGUUUUGCUGGGUUGACGGUAUGUUUGGAUUUAAAGAAACCAUUGGUGACGAAAGUCAAGAUUAAUGGUCGUAUACAACGGGUUGAGUAUAAAUCUUUGCCAGUUGUGUGUUUCAAUUGUGGGCUUUAUGGGCAUAAUUUUGUUCUGUGCUCGGGGAGCAAGAAUAAUGCAUCGGAUUGUGGUGUUCAUGGGGAAGAAUCGGUGGUUGAAAACAUAGGUACUCAAAGAUGUGUGGAAGAGGAGAAUCAUGGGCCAUGGGUGCUUGUGGUCGAAGGCAAAGCCGAAGGGUACAUCAUGUAGAAACAACAGGGGACGAUGACUCCGAAAAUUGGUUAGGAGGUUCACGAUUUUUAGUUCUUGCAGUGGAUCUAGGUGUUAAUGAUCCCGUACUCAUGACCAUGGAUGGAGGGAAUCAGCUUGGUCAAAUCAAAAUGCGUGAUUUAGGGAAGGAUUUUAAUGCAAAUUUUGGAGAAUCGGGACAAAAGGAAUCUAAUUUGGGGGAAGAAAGGGAUGAGUACGCUUAAUGGGAAAGGAAUCAUGCUUGUUGGUGGACCUAAAUCUGGUACAAAGGCAUUAAGGUCCAUUGAUUUCAAUAUUGGGUUGGCAACUAGGAAAUGAGGGAAUGUGUUCGAUGAUGGUUCUGAAAUAGGCCCAAUAGAUCCAAAUGCUAAGGAUAAGGGCUUUGAUUUUUCACCUGUGACUUUUAAGUCAAAUUUGGACAAAAAAAAAAAAACAUGGUGCAGUUCAGGUAGGGGAAAGAAAAUCACAUAUUUCACUUUGAGAAUCAAGUGUAGGGUUCCUAAAUCCGGAUGCGCAAGCAAGUGUAGAUGGUGUUAUCCAACAGAUCUCGAGUCGGAAGGUGAUGAAUUUGUAUCCGUAUUUUCUGGAGUUCUCUGGAGUGGCAGUGUUUUCUUCAACCUUUUGAAUUUGCAUUCGUAGAUGAUUCAUAUGAGGGUUGGUAACAGACAAGGACCCUUUAAAUUUUUAUGUUCCAUAGUGUAUGCUAGCCCUUAACCAGCUAAGCGAAGUACGUUAUGAGAUUUUUUUAUUUCUUUUGCUGAAUCCAUUAGGGAGUCGUGGACUAUAGCAGGAGACUUUAAUUCAAUAUUGGAGCCAUUGGAACAAGUGGGUGGGUAAGUGAGCAUGCGUUGUGGAUAUAGUAGCUGUCUGUCUUUUCUGUUUGAUAAUGGCGUCCGUGACUUGGGGUUCAGCGGGCCUCGAUUCACUUGGAGUAGAGGCAAUCUAUCACAGCACUUGGGUAGGGUAAUGUGUAACUUGAUUUGGGACUCGUUUGCGCUAAAUUGCUCAAUACGAAAUUUGCACCGCCUGAAGUUGGAUCAUAGGCCGAUUUUGGUUUCUCUCAAUCCAUUGCAAAAUAGAGGUAACAGACCAUUCCGUUACUUAGCUAAUUGGUUGCUCCAUGCUGAGUUUAAUGGCCUUGUAAGUAACAGUUGGAAGUAUGAUAUGGAUGUGAUUUCUAAUUUGGAGCUUUUCAAAAAAAAAAAAAAAAAGGUUCAAGAAUGGAAUAAACGUGUUUUUGGGAAUAUUUUUGUUCGAAAAAGGAGGCUGAUUUUCGGAACAUGAGCAUAUUUAAGGAAUUUUGGAGUUUAGGGAUUCAGAUAAACUUUGUGAUCGGGAAGUGAAAUUAUGACACGAGGUAGAUGAUAUCCUGAAGCCUGAUGAGUUGUUAUGGUUUCAAAAAUUUAGAACAUAAUGGCUUACGAAUGGAGAUAGAAACACAAAGUAUUUUUCAUAGCCGUACUAUGGCUAGGCGAAAGAAAAAUAAGGUGGAAGGACUUAAAAUUGGGAAUGAUGAUAGGUGUUUUGAUUCGAAGGUCCUACAACAUGUGGUGGAAUCUUUUUAAAGAGAUUUAUUUUGUAGAUUAUUCAAGCAAUGGAGCCUUGUCUAGUAGAGGUAGUUUUCUUGAGAUUUCUCCAUUAGAGAAGGAUAACCUAAUAAUGGGAAUCAGUGAUGAGGAGUUCGUAAGGCAGUUUUUGGAAUGGCACCAUUGAAAGCAUCAGGAGUGGACAAUUUUCAUGCAAAAUUCUUUCAGUCACAAUGGGAUACUCUUGGUGGUUCGGUUUGUUGUAUGGUGCGGCAAGUUUUAGAAGGGCAUCAGUUGAUUCCAUGGCUAAAUAGAACAUUAUUGGUUCUUCGGCCAAAAGUUUAAGGUCUGGAAAGAAUUUUGGAAUUUCAGCCAAUAAGUUACUGUACGGUGUUAUAUAAAGUUAUUAUGAAGGUGCUAGUUAAUAGAUUAAGGUUGUUGAUGCUGAAGAUUACUAAGCAGAAUCAAGCUAGCUUCGUUGCAGGUAGAAACAUAUCAGAUAACAUUGUAAUGGCACAGAAAACUAUUCAUUCUAUGAGGACUUUCAAAGGAAGAAAAAUGGGGAUGGCUUUAAAGAUUGACCUGGAAAAAGCAUACAAUAGGGUUAGAUGGGAAUUUUUUGGAAGAUACAUUGUUUGAAGCUGGACUACUGCCUUUGCUAGUCACAGUGAUUUUAAAUUGUGUUUCAUCGUCAUCUCUUUAGAUCCUCUAGAAUGGAGCGAUGACGAAUACUUUUUGACCAGCAUGUGGUAUUCGUUAAGGAGAUCUGCUCUCGCCUUAUCUAUUUGUGCUAUGCAUGGAGCAUUUGGGACAUUUUAUUGAGGAAGCAGUUGAACAGUGAAGUUGGAAGCCACUAUUUUUAUAUAGGAGAGUGAUGUAGGUUUUGUGCGUGUGGAUGACCUUGGUAUGUGUCUUGGCAUGCCUCUUUUUCACAAAAGAGUUGUGAGGAGUACGUUCGAGUUUCUGAUUGCUAAAUUCCGAAAUAAGCUUAAUGGAUGUGAAUCAAAGAAGCUGUCAAUGGCUGACAGAAUAACCUUGGUAAAAUAUGUGCUCUUAGCUAUUCCAAACUACUUAAUGAGUACGGUUCUUAUCCCUCUUUUUGUGUGUAGGGAAAUUGAAAAAUUAGCUUGUAACUUUAGAUGGGGGAACUUCUUCGGAAUCGAGAAAGCCAACUUUGGUGCCUUGGGGGAUUGUUGUUGAGUGAUUGAUGGUGGAGGGCUUGGGUUGGGAAACCUUGUGGACCAAAACAAUUUUUUUUCUUUUUUUGUUAAAAAUGGGAUUCCAGCUUCUCACUAAUACAGAGGCUUUGUAGGUUCCAAUUUUGAUAAAUGAAUAAAAUAUUUAAAGAGUGAUGUCGAUGUC